CCUACGGGAGGCAGCAGUGAGGAAUAUUGGUCAAUGGGCGGAAGCCUGAACCAGCCAAGUAGCGUGCAGGAUGACGGCCCUACGGGUUGUAAACUGCUUUUAUACGGGAAUAACGCGACUUACGUGUAGGUCUUUGCAUGUACCGUAUGAAUAAGGACCGGCUAAUUCCGUGCCAGCAGCCGCGGUAAUACGGAGGAUCCGAGCGUUAUCCGGAUUUAUUGGGUUUAAAGGGAGCGUAGGUGGGUUGUUAAGUCAGUUGUGAAAGUUUGCGGCUCAACCGUAAAAUUGCAGUUGAAACUGGCAGUCUUGAUUACAGUAGAGGUGGGCGGAAUUCGUGGUGUAGCGGUGAAAUGCUUAGAUAUCACGAAGAACUCCGAUUGCGAAGGCAGCCCACUGGACUGCAACUGACACUGAGGCUCGAAAGUGUGGGUAUCAAACAGGAUUAGAUACCCGGGUAGUC
rnacentral:rRNA from 1 species